rnacentral:snRNA from 1 species
UUAAUAAUUAAUAACAUAUCAU